CGCUAGGCGGGUGGCUUAACACAUGCAAGUCGAGGCGGGUCGUUCCGGGCCAGCGGCGAACGGGUGAGUAACACGGUAGGAUAUCUCGUCCUUUUGGGUGGGGCAUAGGCCGGGGGAAACCCCGAUUAAUACCGCAUAUGGCCUAUGGGUCAAAGCCUUCGGGCGCCAAGAGAGGAGCCUGCGGCCCAUUAUUUAAUCCUAGUUGGUGGGGUAAUGGCCUACCGAAGGGUACGAGUGGGUAGCUGGUCUGAGAGGACGAUCAGCCACACUGGAACUGAGACACGGUCCAGACUCCGUACGGGAGGCAGCAGUGGGGAAUAUUGCGCAAUGGGCGGAAGCCUGACGCAGCCAACCCGCGUGUGUGAUGAAGGCCUUCGGGUUGUAAAGCACUGUCGUGAGGGAAGAAGAUCUGACGGUACCUCACAAGAAGGCACCGGCUAACUCCGUG
rnacentral:rRNA from 1 species